UGGCGGCAGGCCUAACACAUGCAAGUCGAGCGGAUGAGUGGAGCUUGCUCCAUGAUUCAGCGGCGGACGGGUGAGUAAUGCCUAGGAAUCUGCCUGGUAGUGGGGGACAACGUUUCGAAAGGAACGCUAAUACCGCAUACGUCCUACGGGAGAAAGCAGGGGACCUUCGGGCCUUGCGCUAUCAGAUGAGCCUAGGUCGGAUUAGCUAGUUGGUGAGGUAAAGGCUCACCAAGGCGACGAUCCGUAACUGGUCUGAGAGGAUGAUCAGUCACACUGGAACUGAGACACGGUCCAGACUCCUACGGGAGGCAGCAGUGGGGAAUAUUGGACAAUGGGCGAAAGCCUGAUCCAGCCAUGCCGCGUGUGUGAAGAAGGUCUUCGGAUUGUAAAGCACUUUAAGUUGGGAGGAAGGGCAGUAAGUUAAUACCUUGCUGUUUUGACGUUACCGACAGAAUAAGCACCGGCUAACUUCGUGCCAGCAGCCGCGGUAAUACGAAGGGUGCAAGCGUUAAUCGGAAUUACUGGGCGUAAAGCGCGCGUAGGUGGUUCAGCAAGUUGGAUGUGAAAGCCCCGGGCUCAACCUGGGAACUGCAUCCAAAACUACUGAGCUAGAGUACGGUAGAGGGUGGUGGAAUUUCCUGUGUAGCGGUGAAAUGCGUAGAUAUAGGAAGGAACACCAGUGGCGAAGGCGACCACCUGGACUGAUACUGACACUGAGGUGCGAAAGCGUGGGGAGCAAACAGGAUUAAAUACCCUGGUAGUCCACGCCGUAAACGAUGUCGACUAGCCGUUGGGAUCCUUGAAAUCUUAGUGGCGCAGCUAACGCAUUAAGUCGACCGCCUGGGGAGUACGGCCGCAAGGUUAAAACUCAAAUGAAUUGACGGGGGCCCGCACAAGCGGUGGAGC
rnacentral:rRNA from 1 species